UACUUAACCGUUUUUGUAAAACAACAGCACUCGAGGUCUGACAGUAUUUUACCAAGAAAUGCACAAAAUAUUCAAAAAGAAGGCCUAGAAAAUUUAAAUAUUGGACAAGAACUAUAGAAGAUACAGAGAAAUAAUAUACAGCAGAAAUGAUAGGCAAUGUAAAAUUUGCAGAAGCCAACUUAACCUAAAUGGUGAUCAGACAUCUCGGUUUUCAUGAUCAAUAGGUCAUUACUGAAGAGGAAACUUAAAGUUGAAAUUUAUUUACAUAGUGCAUAAUUGGAUUAAUUUGAAAUGGAAUGUGUGCUUUCCUGCAAAAAAGAAAUAGGAAAUUUCAACAUGUGAUAAUGACCAUAUAAAACAAAAUGGAGUUCUAUCAUAGAUACCCAAAAACACUAUUGCAUAAAAGCAACAACAUAUCUUAAUCAAAAGAAAGGAGAAUGCAGAACACAUACUAUUUUGUUGUUGAAAAAAGGAACACCAGUUUUAUCCACUCAUUUACAUCGCUCCCUCAUAUCAAAUAUACAGAAGAAGAUCAUUGAAGAACAAUUUGCAAAAAUGAUUUCUCUUAGAAUUGAAGGGAAUUGUUUAGUGAAUGGAAUAAUGUAUUCACUGAAUUCUUACAUAGUGGAUUGAAUAACUGUACACAAGCUGAAACAGAAGAAAUUCUAAUUUAAAAUAACACGAAAAGUGUUUAUUUUAUUAUUUAAUCUGCAAAUAUAUAAAUAUUUUUUUUAGAACACCACAAAUGAUAUAAUGACAUUCAAAUUGGUUGCUUAUUAUUGUAUCGCAUUGAAACAAUUACAAAGAAAACAGAAGCAUUUGCUCCAAAAAAAUAUAAAUCAAAGUUAAAUUUAUAUAAAAAGUAUAAACAAUACCUAGAUCUAAAC